GUAGGGCGCAAGCGUUGUCCGGAAUUAUUGGGCGUAAAGAGCUCGUAGGCGGCUUGUCACGUCGGGUGUGAAAGCCCGGGGCUUAACCCCGGGUCUGCAUUCGAUACGGGCUAGCUAGAGUGUGGUAGGGGAGAUCGGAAUUCCUGGUGUAGCGGUGAAAUGCGCAGAUAUCAGGAGGAACACCGGUGGCGAAGGCGGAUCUCUGGGCCAUUACUGACGCUGAGGAGCGAAAGCGUGGGGAGCGAACAGGAUUAGAUACCCUGGUAGUCCACGCCGUAAACGGUGGGAACUAGGUGUUGGCGACAUUCCACGUCGUCGGUGCCGCAGCUAACGCAUUAAGUUCCCCGCCUGGGGAGUACGGCCGCAAGGCUA
rnacentral:rRNA from 2 species